UUUAAGCGCAGCGAUGAGUUUUCGUAUCCAAUUUUCAUCGUCCGUUUUAUUUAAAAAUUUUUUAUGAUUUGUACUUUUUAUUAUUAUUCGAUAAUAAAACAUGAAUAAUAUUUUAUGCGUGACUUAUGUUUUUUAAUUUUUCAAGAAAACUUUAAAUAAAACGGACGAUCAAAGUUAUACACGGAAAUUUAUGGUUGAGCUUAAA
rfam:Oryza glaberrima chromosome 12 Oglab12_unplaced115_1, whole genome shotgun sequence.